ACUACGGUGGUGUAAUGGUUAGCAUUUUUGCCUAGGAAGCGAAAAGACCCGGGUUCGAGUCCCAGCUGCAGUA